GCCACUGGGCUGGUACCGAGCGCUGUCAGAGGAGGACAUCUGUCACACGCCGCCUCCACCGCCACCCACCGCCCCACGCCCCGCUGCCCCCGCCGCGGACGGGCCGGCGGCAGGCUCUGGCGCAGACUCUGCGAUCCUCAGCCUCAACGCCCGUGUAAUGUGCUCUGCUCGGUUCUACAAAGCCCCCAGCAAACUGGACUAAAAACCAUUAGGUACAUCAGCAUGAGGUAGCUAUAGGAUACCCCUAUUCCUUCACCAGAAUAAGCGUUCCUUUCUUUUUGCAGCACACAAACCAGAGCUGGCUUCCGUGACCAGAAUUUGCCACAGUGUAAGAUGUGCACAAGAAAGAUGCUAAAGUGUGGUUUGUUGUUUUGUUGGUGCUUCCCCCUCCCCCCCGCCCCAUAAGAUAUCUGUGAUUUGGAGCUUUCUCAUGUGAGGUGUGAAAUACUCUUGGCUGGCUCAUCUCCCAACUUGCUUUACCUUUAUUCUGCUUUGUAAAAAUCAAGAUUGAUGGGAUGAAUUUCCAGUGCCAAAAGAACGAACACCUUAGAAAAGCAGCCCAGAAACAUGAUGUAACAUCUGAACAUGUCUCUUAGUCAGCAUUUACUGCUGGCAACAUAAUAGCAGUGUCCUAUCAUCUUGUCCUCCAAAAUAGAUGAGCUGCUGCCAGAAGAUUCAGGAUGGGGACACAAUACAAAACAUUUCCCUGGCACAAACUGUCUCAGGUGUUUGCAUCCUUGAUGAAGGAAGCCCCAGUUUUUUGAGAUGUGCCCCCUUCUGAUAAAUAUCUUCUAUCAUUACCUCCGGUGGUACACAGUGAAUAGUAAAUUUUGACAGCUGUCACUCAUUCUUUGGCAUUUCCAGCUCUUAGGAAGGAAUUACAGAAAUGGCAAAAGUGGAAAGUUUUGACAGCUGAGCCACAGGUGAGAGAUCAGAAUUUGCUGCGUCUUGUUACAGCCAAAAAAAGAGUGUCAUAAUGUACAUGCACAGUAACAUGAUUUUUCUGGUUAUGAUGAUGUACGUGUACAUCUAGAAAUAACCAGCAAGUUCGUUGCCAUGUGAAAAUCAAGUCAAUAUUAUAAAUACCUGAUAAAUUUAAAAACACAGCACACUUAAGGGCUGGUUCCCCUUCAGACGGAAUCAUGGGUGUCGUUCCCUCUCAAAAAAUAUCAGAAGUUUAGGUAUGAUAGAGUAAUGAAAAGCCAUAAAAUGAUGCAAGAAAUAAAAUUAGGCAACUUUUUCCUGGGAAUAAAUAUAUUUCAACUUGGACUAGAACAAUUUUUUCCGCCUUCUAAAUAGAACAUUACUGAUAUGUGAGGACCCUUCUGCCUCGGAAUGAAACUCCACACAUCCACCAUCUCAAAGAACUGGAACCUUUUUCUCUGAAAUCCUUGCACAGACACAUUUACUCACAACUUCUACAGCCAUACCUGGGCCCUUUCAGGCUUGUACAGCUGCUCUCUGGCCUUUCAGAGACGUGCAGGCACUGCUUGCACGCUCUUGUUAAGAGUCCAAGGACUUGGGAACAUCUUGCAGCAGCAGAGGAAUAACCUACUUCCACAGCUCAGGUUUCAAAGGUUCACCCUGCUUUAUACUAAACAGAAGUGAGAAAAAGCAUUAAAAGCUGCUAUAGCUUCUGCUCAUGAAAAUCACGGUCUUCCUCUAUUAAGGGAGGGAAAACCAACAAACAAUUAAAAACCAACUGAUUCCUCCAAAGCACUAAAUAAACAAAGGACAAGCCUAAAUAACACCAAACAAGCAAAAUAUAUAUUUUCUAGUCCUGCCUAUUCUGGUUGGCACUUUUUUUUCUUUUUUUGGCUGAUCUCUGAUCUAUCUUAACCCUUCACCUAAGUUUUCUUGCCUCAUUCUGUUUAUUAUGAUCACACAGACUCAAGAUGCUGCUUCGUUCCCAAAUCUUUUAUUUUUAAUAAAUUGCUGAUUUCAUAAUCUCUAAUGCUAUGGCUUCUACCUACCAUCAGUCUUCCCCAUUUCCAUCCCUGUCCUGUUCUCCUGGGUAAGUAUCUGGGGUUUCAGCUCUUUAUAUUGCUAUUUAUUCAAAUCUCUGCUAUGUAAUAAUAACCAGUGCUGCUUAUUUACUCAUUCUCUUAUUCUUCUCUUUGGGAAAAAUCUCCAAGGAGUUGUUCUUGUAUAAAACAGCAAAUACCAACUCAAGAAACAGGCUAUGGAUUUGAGAGAUUUUCUGGAAAACUUGUGAACUAGAAGCCAGUGAACAAAUAAAACUAAUUCUUGUGCAUUCUAUCAUUUUUGUGCCUAUGCCCAUCAUCCUUGCACGAAGCAGAGAGAAAGCUGGGAGUAUCCCGAGUACCUUUUAAAAGCCAUUAUGGGGUAAUGUGCAUUAUACAGUGUAUUACAAGUGCAUUCAUUCAUCAGCUGUGGGGGUGGUAGAGCAGGAUAGAGGAAACUGGGAUACUCUGGUAGCCGAGUUCCCAGCACAUCCUCCAUGGUGUGUCAGGAGUAUCAGAGUGGGCUCCCUGUUCCAACACUUGAGCUGAAUGGAGUGCUGGAAUCACAAAGCUAAGAAAGGCAGCAGUGCCUUAAAGCCCUGCAGCUCCCAGAGUUGUAUCACAGGGAGAGCCCUGGGAAGGCUUGGUCUAGCAUUUCAGCUCAAUCCCAAAAGUAGCAGCAAAGAUUUAUCAAAACAUACUCUGUUUUCUUUCUUUGGUCCUUCAGCCCUUCAAAGCACACAAUUUCACACCACUGCUUAAUUAGAACAGCUCAGGUGAAAAGCUUGUCCAGCAAGAAUCGUCCCCUCCCUCUUUUCACAUAUCCACAUCUGUACCUAGCACCACAUUCCUGUGCUCAGAAAUGCAAACACUUCUCUGCUCCUGCUUUUCCCAGUCACCAGUAUUACCACUGCCUGCUUUAGGAUACUAUUGGGAAAAACUGUUUUGUUACUGGAUAUAAUACACCAUUCUCUGUAUCUUCUCUUCUUAAUGUUUAUUCUGCAGAAUUUCCCCAACAGAACAAGGACACAGCAUCUUUUUGUUUUCUCCUCUAAUCCAUUCCUAACAAAUAAACCAAACCGGACAAAUAAAAAUUCAAAAUAAAAUUGCAAAUGACACCCUGAACAUGAGAUGACACCAACAAGUAACUGAUGUACUAUAAUAGUAUUAAACAGCAAGAUAUUUUUACAAAGGCCAGAAAACACCCAAUGACCCAAGCCAAAACACCUGAUGGCUGCACAAGCCACUCCUGAGCAUUUCAAACACUGAAAAUGCAAUUCACUGUGCUAUGUUAAACAUUUCCAUAGAAGCAAAUCCUCUGUCAAAUAGAGUGUGAAAAGCAAAUGGAGCCAGCAACUGGAAAAUGAAUCCCCAAAACAGUCUGUCAUGGAAUUACGGUUUCCCAAUAUCCAUUCAAACCGAAUAUCCAAGUCAAAUCCUAACAGAAUAAAUGAAAUUAAACUAUCCAACAUCAUAAGAAAAAAAUUGGAUUUUAUCUCCGAGGAAAUGCCUCCAUCUCCAGUGGAAGGUGUCCCUGCAUGUGACAGGGCAGUUUUUAAGUAGUUUUGUUUUUCAGAUGAUCUUUUUUAAAUGGUCUUUAAGGUCCUUUCCAAUCCAAUCCAUUCCAUGACUUUUCCCAACUGACUGCUAUACAAAAUCUUCUCAGUUUCACUUCUCUAACAAUCUAGCACAACAGUGCAAGGAACAAUUGUUCAGUGAUAACACAAAAAAACUCAUUAAAAAAAUACACCCUUUCAUAAAUCAAAAAGCAGAAGCCAGAAGACCACAGAAUGGGUGUGAUUCUACCAAGCCACCAGCCAAAGCUCAAUAAAAUCCAGCAGGUAAGGUACACAACUAGCAUUACAUUAAAGCAAACAAGACAUGAACACCAUAAACAAUAUCCAAAGAGAUUUCAAGCAGUCAUUCUGCAUCUGGUGCUUUUCUGGAGAUGGAAUUGACUACAUAAUGAGCACCAAGUUUUCAUUUUUAAUCAAUUACAUUUUUUAGAAUUUUAUCCAGUUAAGACUUGCUUUGUUAAAAAGUACACCAUUUGCAAGAUACUUAAGAAAUUAAAAUAUUUUAUGAAAGUAAAUGAGACAUUAAGGGAAAACCUGAUAAAAGGAAAUCCACAAAUAAAUAGGAAAAUUGUAAAUUUUGAAAUCUAGGAUAGCAGAUGAUUUGUGGCCAUUUAUUACAACCAGAUUAUUUUCCCUGCCAACAGCCACACAAUUUUUUUCCAGAGUUAAAAAAUCUGGAGUCUAAAAAACUGAUAAAAAAUAUUCCAUAGUCAAUUAGAAACUUCACAUCUGUGAGCUUGGGCUCCUUUUCUGAAGCAGUAGGUAUUUCUGUGGGAAGAAACCCUGAAGUUCACACCAGGAAUUGGCAUUAGCUCCAGACUUUUCCACUGGGUGGUGGUAAUGAGAUCAGGAAGUUCAGGAGAACCCUGAGCACCACCAGUAUUCACUCAUUUCUGUAUUCAUUCAUUCGAUCACUCUGUCUCUCCCUCCAUGCACACGUUCCCACCCGAUGUGUACACAUGCCACGCUGGAAACCUACUGGCACAGCAAUGAAAGGAUGAACAGAAUCGGUCUAAAAUUUUUCAGGGCUGGACUAUAAAAUUAAUCUUAACACAGUUUGCUGCUUUAGCAUUCGGUUAAACGACAUCAUUUUCUCAGUGUAAAACCUGAAGAGAGUUGAGGUGAGACAGAUGACAGGUCAGAAAAUAGCGCUAUUUAUUCCUGAACGAGCAGGUAUAAAUUAGAGCCCCACUGGAGGAAAAAAUGCUCCAGAGAUUCAUAUUGUAAUACAUUUCAUCGAGUUCAAUAUGUGACGUGCUAUGAUGGCUUCCUUUUUCAUGUGAUCUGUAAUUGUCACAGAAGAGAAUGGAAAUUAAAUUUAAAAUGUUGUGUUUACUUUCCCAACGUUACACAUUUCAGCAAGAUCCAUUUUUCAAAGUGGGAAUGUUUGGCAUAAUCUGAAAAUCAAAGCCCUUUACAAUAUUUAUGGUUACGACCUCCCAGCUUAAAGCACCAUAAAUCACAUCAGGCAUUAACUGGUUCACUUUCACAGGGCACCAGUUGUAACAAUACCAAAACACAGUACAGUAUUAAGCACGUGCUGGGGAAGGAUAUUUCUAAUACUAUAUAAUCUGAUGCAUUGCCAUGCUUUUAAAACCACACCAUUUUUAUUAAUUAUGAUUUAAAUACUGGUAGAUAGUAGAGUCCAGUAACAGCCUUAAAGUCCUUUUUUGGCCCUUCUGAGUUGCUUGAUAGAUGGUUGACACUAUCAGCUUACUGUCUGAAGGGCCCUGUUUAUUCAUUAGAACAAUUUCUUUUCCCUAAUAACUCAUGACUUACCAAUCUGUCUGCUGUAGUGAAAGAAUGUAAUUACAAAUUGGCAUGUUAAAAUACUAUCAAAAGAAUUUAAUCCAACUUGCAAAAUAUUAAUAAGUUAUGUGUUUAAUUAAAGAUAACCAUAUCAAAAUAUCUCAAGUACAUUAUAGAUUACUAGCCUGAAAAAAUAAAUGUGGCAAAAAACCAAGUCAGUAUUGCUCUAAAAAUAGGGAGGACUUCCAAAGCCCAGUGUAUCUGGUUUGGCAUUUGGACAAGGAAAAAAAAUGUCUACAUAAUUCAUUUAAGAACUUACUCAUUGCUCCAAGCUAUAUAAAUCAUGCCAAGUUUUACCAAAUGCAUUUUUCCUUGAGUAUCUGUAAGACCUGUGUGAUCACAGAAGACAAGGCAAAAGACUAUUAACAGACAACUGCCAUGGGUAAACUACAAAUCUGUGUCCAAACAGCAACAUGAACACUUCUUUCUUCAUCCAGUUUUUGGGGUGCCUUGGAGCUAGGGUGCUCUUGUAUUGCUGAGUCCUGAAUUAACAAUCCUCAUCUGGGGGAAUAAAGUAUCAUAACUAUUAAUGACUACACAUUAGUUUAAUUAAAAUAAUGAGUACUCUGACAUCAUUUAUUUAUUAUUAGAGUGCAGCACAUUAGUUCCAUGAUUUUUCUACUCUACAGCUUUGUUCACAUGGUCUUUUGGAUCAACAAUUUCUUGUGAUAGUUACAUGGGAAGUGCCAUAGAAGAAAAAUCUUCUCCAGUUUUAAAAGAUUAUGUUCCACUUCCUUCUUUGCAUAAUCAUUACACAAUGUAUGCAUGCAUAUAUAUGUAUAUACACACAUAUAAACAUAUAUAUGUUUGGAUCAUUAGUAGUUUAAUUUUCUACUUUCAUUAUUGCUAUGUAACACGCUCCAGUGUCACUUGACAUAUUUCUGUAACUGCAUGUUACCUUCUCUCCACACAAACCUGAAUCUAGUACAAGAUAUCUAUUAUCUAGACCUACACUCAAAGCAUCAUUGCUUUUACAGAAUUUCAAUAUCUAAAUAUAUUAAAUUACCCUUGAACUAACCUUAGCAUCAGCAUUCCCACUAGAACCAGUGACCCUAAGGCAUUCUAAAUGCCUGAAGUUAAGAGGAAAAGAAAGUAUAAAAUGUCUUAAAAGUCAAAACACAACUGAACUAUUCCCUGGAAACCCAUGUGCUACAGUCUUUACAGGAAAAUGCAUUUACUUUAAAAAAAAACAGCCAAACCAAAAAAUACAUGCAGAAAGAAAAAAAAAUCUGUACUCAAAUUGUCACCACUCUGGAAGAAAUAUUGUUUAAACUUGCUGAUCUUGAGUUAGUUUGAAACAAGAAAAACAAAAACCCAACAAAGCAACAAACAACCAACCAGCCCAGCCUCUAAACCAACAAAAAUACUUCCACCCUACUGGUUUUGAAGCCCAUCUUUGGAUUUGUACCUUGUAUUUAUUAAGCCUGAGCCUGGCAGGACAGUCCCUCACUCCCUCAUGAUGCCUAAACCUGCCACUUUUAAAUGCCUGUGCUUCUACCUCUUUGUCAGCUGGAAAUCACCAUCAAUUAUUUGACCUAACACUGAAAUAAAAUAUUCUUCAAGCUUUUCUCUCCCUUUUUUUUAUAAAUAAUCAUGCUUUAUUGCAAGACACUGACAUCUCUGCAGCUUCUGCUGGUAAAGCUUUAUUGUCAUUACUUUAAUGCUUGAACAUAAAUUGAUUCCUUGAGCUUCCUAGUUAUUUUUGUACAUCUUCUCUAAAUUCCCUCUGCUCACUUUCCUGAGUGAAUAAUUCUCUUAUAAAAGUGUAUUUGUAUCCAAAUGACCAUAAGCGUAAUGUACUUGCAGGCAGAUUAUAUUUAAAAAUCAACCCUUAAAGACAGCAAUUUAAGUUUUUUGGUUGGAUAUUCAUCUCCAUUAUGCCCUCCAUGUUAUUUUCAGAAAGCAAAACAUUGAUUAGUUUUGGAAUAACACCCUAAAGGUUGAAAAGCAGGAGCUGUAACAAAAUUAUCUCACUGAGGGUCUUUGAGAAUAAAAAUAAUGCUCAGGGAGUGCCACUGCAAAAUGAGAUUGCAUGUAAGGAUGCAGGGCACACAUUUACCUCUAUGCUGCUGCUCCUUCAUCUUUCUGGCUUUCCACUCGUGGAGGUUCUCGUGGGGGCUGACUUUGGCACUCCAGGCUGCCCUUGCACUCUCCCCUCGUGGCUGGCAAGCCCAUCCUGGCUUUUUAUAGGGACCACAGAUUGCUCUCACACCCACAAAUUGCUCUUCUCAUUGCUUAAAUUCUAGCACAGUCAAUUCUUUACCUGUAAGUGAUGCUUCAUUUUUCCUACCAUUUCUCAUCUGCAGUUUACUCGCCCUUCACAUGAGGAACUAACAAGAAAGCCAAGAGAAACCCAAACACUAUUUGUAUGAAUUUAUUAGCAGGAAGCCAAUUUUUGCUCAAUAUUACAACCGUGCAUUUUGGAUUUAACAGAACAUUCCUCAAACUGAAGGCCAGCAGAGAAGUAAGUGGUUUUUGGACAAAGCAUUUUCUGCCCUCGUGAAAACAGCAGCAGGAAACAAACUCCAGUGGUCAAAAUUGGAUCAUAAAGAUGAAAAACCAUAUGUGUUUCUGGUCUUUAAAUUGCUACUCUGCAGAGUGAUAAGAGACAUCAUAUAGAACCUUAUCAGGAUUUAAUUUCCUAACAGAAAUGAGAAAGGAAUGUGCAAAGCCCCUCUUACAUGAGCUAGCAUUAGAUUGCCGUACACGAUAAAAAUAUCUUAACAGGCGUAUACCUAAAGAAGAUUACAUCCCAUCUCUCCUUCCUGAAGAUGCUUUCUAUAUACAAAUUCUUUUAAAAAUAGCAUAUUUCUGGUUUUCUGUGCAUGACUGUGUUCUUCAGGAGAUGUUUUCUGGCAAAACCCUCCUCACAGUUACCGUAUCCUUUUAGUGCUUCCAUAAUAAUACCUUGUAAAAUGCUCUUAGUGUAUGAGGUUUAUGAAUGAAACCUGUCAAAGUAUAUGUACCACAAAAACAUUUGCUAAAUUUCUUUGAAAUUUAAUUCUUGGCUGUAGUCUGUGUCACAAAGGUUCUAUAAUAAAGCCACCAUCACUAUGUGAAAAA